rnacentral:rRNA from 1 species
UGGGGAAUAUUGCACAAUGGAGGGAACUCUGAUGCAGCGACGCCGCGUGAACGAAGAAGGCUUUCGAGUCGUAAAGUUCUUUUAUAUGGGAAGAUAAUGACGGUACCAUAAGAAAAAGCCCCGGCUAAUUACGUGCCAGCAGCCGCGGUAAUACGUAAGGGGCGAGCGUUGUCCGGAAUUAUUGGGCGUAAAGAGUGCGUAUGCGGCAAAUUAAGUCAGAUGUGAAAACUAAGGGCUCAACCCAUAGAUUGCAUCUGAAACUGAUAUGCUUGAGUCAAGGAGAGGAAAGUCGAAUUCCUAGUGUAGCGGUGUAAUGCGUAGAUAUUAGGAGGAAUACCGGUGGCGAAGGCGACUUUCUGGCCUUGAACUGACGCUGAGGCACGAAAGCGUGGGGAGCAAACAGG